UGUGUGUGUGUGUGUGUGUGUGUGUGUGUGUGUGUGUGUGUGUGUGUGUGUGUUAUGUCAAAAAAUAUAUGAUUCUUAUUUCAACUCUGAAUUUAUGGUUGAUGAAAUCCCACGAGAAUUGUUAUUACUGAAAGAGAGAGAGAGAGAGAGAGAGAGAGAGAGAGAGAGAGAGAGAGAGAGAGAGAGAGAGAGAGAGAGAGAGAGAGAGAGAGAGAGAGAGAGAGAGAGAGA